ensembl:lncRNA
AUUAUAUUUUCACAGUUUAUAUUAAGGCAGUAGAUCCCCAACAUGGGCUUCUCGGAUGGCUCUGUGGUAAAGAAGCCUCCUGCCAUGCAGGAGAUGUGGGUUCCAUCCCUGGGUCGGGAAGAGCCCCUGGAGAAGGAAAUGGCAAUCCACUGCAGUAUUCUUGCCUGGAAAAUUCCAUAGACAGAGAAGCCUGGCAGGCUACAAUCCAUGGAGUCACAAUUGAGUGUCUAAACAAUAAGAAUAACUAUCCCCAACAUGCCUUCCAAAUUCAGUGAAAGUCCACCAGGUCAUAUUUAUGCAUUUCAAUAACAUAGACUGAGGCUUUUGUUUUAUUUAGGUGCCUGGGUAUUCAAAAGACAAAGGGGUUCUUAGGAGUUUUCUUAGGCAAAGGGCUCAGUAGCUUGGCUCCUUCUGAACAGCCUGUGUAAAGGAAUUAUGUGGCCUGGAUCUUUUCUUCUGCCUGUCAACUCUAUUUGUGCUGGGGGAGUGGAGAAAAGAAUGGUCUCAACUGUUGGGGAUUCCACAGGUUCUUCCAAACAGCUUAGUGAGGGAACAUUGGAUUCUUUCCCUGCCAGUGAAAACAUCCUACGUCCCAUCUCUGUGGCUUCACUCAGGCCACCCAAAGGCGGUCUUAGUUGUCUCUAGUUGCCCACUUCUCUGGUCCUUGUCCUAAGAUUUUUAUGGAACAAGAAAAUAAAUCUGGGAAUUCCCUGGCAGUCCAGUGGUUAGGAACUCAGGGCUUUCACUGCUGGGGCCCAGCCUCCAUCCCUGGUCCAGAAACUAAGAGUCUGCAAGCCAUGUGGUGAGGCAAAAAAAAAAAAAAAAUGUUGGUUGCAUUGAGUGGAUGGGGAAAACUAGAAAUUGUAAACACAUCUAGAUAGUCUUAGCAUUUGCAAUGUAUUUCUACACAUUAUUUGAUCCUCAAUGGUGCUAUGAGCUAAGAAGGGCAAGCCUGAGUUCUUUUUUGAAAACCUUCAUGCAUUUGGCCAUGUCGGAUCUUGGUUGUGGAAAAUCUUUGAUCUUCGUUGAGGCAUGUGGGAUGUUUCAGCUGUGGCAUGUGAACUCAGUUGUGGCAUGUGGGAUUUAGAUCCCUGACCAGUGAUCCAACCUGGGGUCCCCUGCAUCAGGAGCAUGGAGUCUUAGACACUGGACCACCAGGGAAGUCCCCGAACUCUACAGAUGAGAAGAAGAGGUUCAGAGAAGUGACCUGCCCAAGUGGUGGGGUGCAGACUUGACCUGUGUGGUACCCCAAAGCAGUCCCUCUCAGCUAUAACUUGCUCCACCUGUGUGUUUGUCAAAGCGGAUGUUACAGAAGUCCCAUGGCAGCCCUUCCCUGGAGGUCCAGUGGUUAAGACUCACUCUGCAUUCCACUGCAGGGGACACAGGUUCAAGGUUCAAUCUCUAGUCGGGCAACUAAUAUCCCGCAUGCUAUGACCAAAAUAAGUAAGUAAAUGCACACGUGUGCUCAGUCAUGUCUGACUCUGUGACCUUAUGGAGGCAUAUGUAGCCUGCCAGGCUCUUUUGUCCAUGGAAUUUUGCAGACAAGAAUACUAGAGUGGGUUGCCAUUUCCUUCUCCAGGGGGUCUUCCUGACUCAGGGAUUGAACCCACGUCUUCUGUGUCUUCUGUAUAGCAGGCAUAUUCUUUACCACUUGAGCCGUCAGGGAAGCCCAAGUAAGUAAAUAAGUAGAUACGUAAGUAGGUCCUGUGGGAUCAGUGGGCAUAGCCAGAAACAACGAUCUAAUCUAGAAUAGGGAUUUACAUAUAAUGUGGUUGCCCGAAGCCCCACAACCUACCCCAGAGUGCUGUUUCCUUUCAGAGGCAUUAGAGCCAUGGUCUUGAUGUCAAGUCAACCUGAUUCAGUAAGGCAGUUUGGGUAAACAGUUUAGAAGUCAGGUAAACAGUUUCCUGUCUGAAAAAACAGUACCUGGAUGCUACUUGGCGCUAGACCCUAUGUGAGCUGCUAGACCAACAAAGGAGACAAGGGUUCGAUCCUUGAUCUGGGAAAAUCCCGCAUGCCGAGGAGCAGCUAGCCAGUGCGCCACAACUGCUGAGCCUGUGCUCCAGAGCCCAGGGACCACAACUCCUGAGCCCAGGUGCUGCGACUGCUGGAGCCUGUGUGCCCUAGAGCUGGUGCUCUGCAACAAGAGAAGCCACUGCAAGAAGAAGCCUGAGCACUGCAACUAGAGAAAAGCCCGCGUGGCCACGAAGACCCAGCACAGCCAAAAAUAAAUACUUUUUUAAAAAGGGUUUCCUGGUGGUCCAGCGGCUGAGAAUCUGCCUUGCAAUGCAGGUGACACCAGUUGGAUCCCUGAUCUGGGAAGAGCCCACGUGCCAUGGAGCAGCUAAGCCGGUGCGCCACAAGUGCUGAGCCUGCGCUCUGAAGCCCGGGAGCCACAACUACUGAGCCCACGUGCCGUAACUACUGAAGCCUGUACACCCUAGAGCCUGCGCUCUGCAACAAGAGAAGCCACUGCAGUGAGAAACCCACAAUGAAACUAGGCAGUAGCCCCUGCUCGCUGCAACUAGAGAAAGGCCGCCCACAGCAGAGGAAAACUAGCAGAGCCAAAAAUAGAAAUAAAGUUUAAAAA